ACCUGGGUGGCUCAGUGGGUUGAGCGUCCGACUUCAGCUCAGGUCAUGAACUCACAGUCUGUGGGUUCAAGCCCCACGUCGGGCU
rnacentral:tRNA from 1 species